rnacentral:rRNA from 1 species
AACGAGACCUUAACCUGCUAAAUAGCCCGUAUUGCUUUGGCAGUACGCUGGCUUCUUAGAGGGACUAUCGGCUCAAGCCGAUGGAAGUUUGAGGCAAGAACAGGUCUGUGAUGCCCUUAGAUGUUCUGGGCCGCACGCGCGCUACACGGACGGAACAAGCGAGUUCUCCCUUGACCGGAAGGGCCGGGUAAUCUUGUGAAACUC